GUCGAGGAUCUUCUGCAAUGGGCGCAAGCCUGACAGAGCGACGCCGCGUGAGGGAGGAAGGCCUUCGGGUUGUAAACCUCUGUUGCCGGUUAAGAAUGCUGGGGUGCGAAUAGCGCUCUCAGUUGACAAAGGCCGGUGAGGAAGCCACGGCUAACUACGUGCCAGCAGCCGCGGUAAGACGUAGGUGGCGAGCGUUGUUCGGAAUCACUGGGCAUAAAGCGCACGUAGGCGGCUGGGCAAGUCGGAUGUGAAAUACCUCGGCUCAACCGAGGAACUGCGUCCGAUACUGCCCGGCUUGAGGUCCGGAGGGGAGAGUGGAAUUCCCGGUGGAGCGGUGAAAUGCGUAGAGAUCGGGAAGAACGCCGGCGGCGAAAGCGACUCUCUGGUCGGAAUCUGACGCUGAGGUGCGAAAGCUAGGGGAGCAAACGGGAUUAGAAACCCCAGUAGUCC
rnacentral:rRNA from 1 species